UCGUAUAACCGAGGUGCAAGGGCUGUUGCUGACCUUCAAAGGUCGUGCACGCCCAAGCACUCUCACACAUCCAUCUCUCACCCCCUUGUGCAUCGCCGCGUGGGCCCCCCCUUUGCAGGAGGGCUUGCGUUUUCACAUAAAACUUGAUACAGUGUAGAAUGUUUUCUUUUGCGGUCACACGCAAUCAAUA
rnacentral:misc_RNA from 1 species